rnacentral:lncRNA from 1 species
CAUGGUAACAGGACCAAACCAACCUUAAUAUAUAGGGAAUCCAAGGGUAUCGUUGAAGGAGACACCGUCUUCCAGCAACUGGGCAAUGUGUCAGACAGAGCCUGUCAGAUUGAACUGGUCCUAAACUGGGGAUUCAUAGGUGGUCAGAGCGGACUGCGUGUAAAGGUGUGGCUGGUGGACAGUAUAUAGACAGGCUCCCUAGAGCCAUGAGGAAGAGAAUAGGUUCAGGAAAUUUCACACAGCCAAGAGUUUGGUAGGAAUUGUUAGGGAGUCAGGCAGCAAUUCCUCCAGAUUAGUAAGAAACGGGCCUUAGCUACUCUGAGCAGCGUUAAGAGCUGUUUGUGGGGGCCUGGAGAGGUUGCUUAGCAGUGAAGAGUGCUUGCUGAUCUUGCAAAGCGUCUGGGUUUGGUUCCUAGCUCCCACAGCCAGCAGCUCCCAACUACCUCCAUCUCCAUCUCCAGGGGAUCUGAGGGUACCUGCAUGCAUGCAUGUGUAGAUAUGUAUGUAUAUAUCUCCUGAUAAAUGGUCUAUGCUUUCAGAAAGUAUAGAGACAAAGGUUCUUGGGGGGGGAGGUACUCUUUGCGUGUGUGUGUGUGUGUGUGUGUGUGUCUGUAUAACAGGGUUCCGUGUUGCUUGAACUGACCUUGUACUUGCAUUUCAGAGUCAGAUUCGUGAAUUUGAAAACCUGGUCACCAGGGAGUGCCACCAUUUGAAAGGAUUAGGAGAUGUAGCCUUGUUGGAGGAAGUGUGUUGAUGGAGGUAGGCUCUGAGGGCUCAAGGACCCAAAUUAGGCCCAGCAUCUUUCUCUUCCUACUGCCUGUGGAUCUGGUUGUAGAACUCUGAGGAUCUUCUCUAGCAGCACGUCUGCUUGUGUGUCACCACCCUACCUCCUAUGAGGACAGUGGACUAAACCUCUGAAACUGUUGCCUUGUGGGACUGAGCAACUGCUGGAUCCUUAGACUUCCGUCCACAGCUGCUGCUGACCAUCGCUGGGAGUUGAACUACAGACUGGAUGCUACACACUGAGUGAAUUGUUUUGCUGGUUUCAGGAGAGGUCCUAGCCAAGAGGAGUGAAUACCACUCACAGGGGCAAAGGCAAGUGACCUGCUUGGAGAAACAGUCCACCUGCCCCGAGGAGAACAGAACAUCUUCACACCUUUUCCCUCUUCAUCCAAAGACUAAAAACUAGAUCCGAGUCCCUCCCGGAGGCAAAGGAAGACGGAAAACUAUCAAGGGGACGUGGAAAUUUCCCAGCCUGCAAACUCACUCAUCAUAGCCUUGGCCCAGCAUCUUACCCAUCCUCCCUCUUCCAUCAUCUGAUGUAGGACCUGCUAUAAAUUGAUGCCUCCUACCUGUCGAUGCAAGAGAAGAUAGCGCACAGUGAAGCACCUUUCCGUUUUCAAGUUUGACAAUAAAUCUAUUCUAUUUUCC